AGCGAACGCUGGCGGCGUACUUAACACAUGCAAGUCGAACGGGGAGUCGAUGGGUAGCAAUGCUCAUCGGCUUCUAGUGGCGCACGGGUGAGUAACACGUGAGUGACCUGCCCUUGGGUCCGGGAUACCUCUUCGAAAGGAGAGCUAAUACCGGGUACGUUCGCCUGGCUGCGAGGCCGGGCGAGGACAGGCCGUGGCAACACGGUCGCCCAAGGAGGGGCUCGCGGCCUANCAGCUAGUUGGCGGGGUAAUGGCCCACCAAGGCGAUGACGGGUAGCUGGUCUGAGAGGACGACCAGCCACACGGGGACUGAGACACGGCCCCGACUCCUACGGGAGGCAGCAGUGGGGAAUUUUCCGCAAUGGGCGCAAGCCUGACGGAGUGACGCCGCGUGGGGGACGAAGGCC
rnacentral:rRNA from 1 species